rnacentral:sRNA from 1 species
CUCAAAAAGAAAUCGCAGCUAUAUACGACCUGUCAUUGUUCGUAGUAUCUUGAAAGCACCGUAUCAGGAUUUAUGCUUUUUAAAAUCCUUGAAAGAAUAUGAAACUAUCGAUGAAACUAUAGCAAAAGCUGCUUUGAAGAAAUUUUGUCAUCAUUUAUGGUAUCUACAUGAUGAAAUAUCGGCUCUCUCACUUUUUGAUGACGACGUUACUUUUGAUGUAAAGGAAAGAAUGGUCACAAAUUUGACUAAACAAAAUAGAACCAGCUUAGGAAAACGAUAUGUACCAUCGAUGGAAGAUCUUAACGGUGCACUUUUUGACAAACACAUGGACGAUUUUAUAUGACAGUUUUUGAGUCUAUGCCCUUCAUCAUGGAACAGUAACCCAUCUUACUUAAAAAGCAAGACUAGUCUUUCAUUACUUAAGGCAGUAAAUGAUACAGCAGAAAGAGCUGUGAAAUUGAUGAAAGACUUACGGCCGUCUAACAGUGGAUGCGGAACAAAAACAUUUUUCGUUACUUUGCGUUUAGGAGCAUAGAAAAAUGUACCCGGAUUAUAAAAAGGAGACUUUAAAAAGAAAAUAUUCCCAAUAAAAUAUCAGAACUGCGUUCA